AGAAAAGUUGGUAUUGUUUUAUGAGACACAUCGAUCACACAACUAGGAAAACGUCACAGACUGGCUCUGUUCCAUAUUCACGUGGACAAGUGUGUGUGUGUACAUAUUGAUAGUAACGUUAAAGGAAAGAGAUGUGAGUUCCCAGCCUGUCCUGUGGUCAUGCCUGCUGCUUGCUGCCAGGACUCUCUGCCACCAUGGAUUCUAACUCAGUGGAACCGUACUUCAAGAUUCUCUACUACCUACGGUGCCGAGUAUCAUUUCAGGUGCUAGGGGAAGAUCAGCAGACAAAAUGAAGACUACUGAAAUCCUUCCCCUUCAGAGAGCCAAUGUGUUACGGUGGGCAAAGGACAACGAUACACAAAACAAGUCCAUUAUGUGACAUGUUGAAGAGGAUGCCAGCUAUGCAGAAAAAAAAUCAGCCAGCAUCCAUGCCCAGAGAAAGGCCUCAAGCACAACUGCAUCUGUGUUCAGGAGAGAGCUCUGGGCACUAAGGAAAAGGAAGAUCUAAGAGAGCAGAGAAAACAGAACAGUAGGAAAUGGUCUCAUGAUAAGAGGAGUAGCAUAAUGUUGAAUGCAAAGACAGCAGACCCAGGCAACAAAGCCUUGCAAGAAAACAGUCC